rnacentral:tRNA from 1 species
AAAUAAGAAGCAAUAAUGCAUUUAAUUUCGACUUAAAAAUAGAGUAUUUUACUCCUUAUUUA